rnacentral:rRNA from 1 species
CCCCGGUUAAUACGGGGGAUGCAAGCGUUAUCCGNAUUUAUUGGNUUUAAAGGNUGCGUAGNNGNUCUGUCAANUCGCCGGUGAAAACACCAUGCUAAACAUGGUGCUUGCCNUCNAGACUGNUGGGCUUGAAUGUGGAUNAUNCCGGCGGAAUGUGUAAAGUAGCGGUGAAAUGCAUAGAUAUUACACAGAAGGUCGAUUGCGAAAGCAGCUGGCAAAGGCACUAUUGACGCUGAGGCACGAAAGUGCGGGGAUCGAACAGGAUUAGAUACCCUGGUAGUCCGCACAGUAAACGAUGAUAACUAACUGUCGGCGAUACACAGUCGGUGGUAAAGAGAAAUCGAUAAGUUAUCCACCUGGGGAGUACGACCGCAAGGUUGAAACUCAAAGGAAUUGACGG